rnacentral:misc_RNA from 1 species
GAUGAAGAACGUAGCAAAAUGCGAUAAGUAAUGUGAAUUGCAGAAUUCAGUGAAUCAUCGAAUCUUUGAACGCACAUUGCGCCCGCCAGUAUUCUGGCGGGCAUGCCUGUUCGAGCGUCAUUUCAACCCUCAAGCACAGCUUGGUGUUGGGACUCGCGUUAAUUCGCAUUCCCCAAAUUGAUUGGCGGUCACGUCGAGCUUCCAUAGCGUAGUAGUAAAACCCUCGUUACUGGUAAUCGUCGCGGCCACGCCGUUAAACCCCAACUUCUGAAUGUUGACCUCGGAUCAGGUAGGAAUACCCGCUGAACUUAAGCAUAUCAUAAGCGGAGGA